rnacentral:rRNA from 1 species
GACGAACGCUGGCGGCGUGCUUAACACAUGCAAGUCGAACGGAAAGGCCCUGCUUUUGUGGGGUGCUCGAGUGGCGAACGGGUGAGUAACACGUGAGUAACCUGCCCUUGACUUUGGGAUAACUUCAGGAAACUGGGGCUAAUACCGGAUAGGAGCUCCUGCUGCAUGGUGGGGGUUGGAAAGUUUGGGCGGUUGGGGAUGGACUCGCGGCUUAUCGGCUUGUUGGUGGGGUAGUGGCUUACCAAGGCUUUGACGGGUAGCCGGCCUGAGAGGGUGACCGGCCACAUUGGGACUGAGAUACGGCCCAGACUCCUACGGGAGGCAGCAGUGGGGAAUAUUGCACAAUGGGCGGAAGCCUGAUGCAGCAACGCCGCGUGCGGGAUGACGGCCUUCGGGUUGUAAACCGCUUUCGCCUGUGACGAAGCGUGAGUGACGGUAAUGGGUAAAGAAGCACCGGCUAACUACGUG